UAUUGCGUAAUGGCAAUAGACCAGCAGGAGUAAAGAUCGUUUGUCUGCAGUUGUAUAUCAAACAUUAGUGAUACAAGUGUCGAAUAUAUGAGGCAUCGUUUGGCAGUAUUAAGGACUCGCUGGUUGCCUGAGUAUCACUAAAACAAAAUAACAGAUGGUAGAGAUUUAAUUUUGACCCAUCGGUGGCUGCGGGGUUGCCUUCACUGGUGGAUGAUGAUGGUGUGGUGGUUUGGUCACUUUUUAUGUCUUUUUCUUUAGGUCUGCAGUGUGGUUUGCUGUGAGUGGAUUGCAGUGCGAGCACAUUUGUCUAACACCUUGUCU